rnacentral:lncRNA from 1 species
GCUUAGCUGAGAUCAAAAGAAACUGCCCAGCUGACCUGCAGACUCAUGAGCAGAAUAAAUGGUUGUUAUUUUAAGCUACUAGAUUCUCCUUGAACUCUAAGCCUGGAGGCUUUAGUGAUUCAGGCAGGAGAGGUUAGGUUCCUGACUUCUUUAGCAAGAGAUAGGUUUGAGCAUUAGGCAUUGUUGAGAAGGGAGAUUUUUCUAAAUUUCUUUAGUUGUUUUUUUUUCAUAGCAAAAGCCAGUUUCCCUAGACUUUCUCUUAUUUAGUAAAAAAAGAAAUACUUAUCCCCAUCUAGGCUUAGCCUCAAAGCUGGAAUUGAGAAGGAGAAUAUGACACAGAGAAAGCCUGUCCCUUCUGGUGAGAUGUUUGAGGGGAUAAGAGGAGUCAGACAGAGUGAGAGACUGAGGAAGAAAAAGAAGCCCUUUGGACAUGUAGGUCCUGGAUAUUCUGUCUCAUGAAGAUGAGGAACAGCAUUAGAGGACGCUGUGCAGAUCUGAGUGGUAGUAGCCGGGGAUUCAGGUCUUCUUCUAUCUCUCCAUUGAUGGCUCUGGAGUCUGUAAUGCUCCUCUGGUUGUCUUCACUGAUGGAUGGAUCUUCACACCAAGAUUUGGGCGAUUUAUACAAUGUGAUGGGAACACAGUAUAAUCUUUAUAGUGCUUCUCUUCUAAGAGCUUCUAAAAAACCCCACUUCCUGCUGCACAGCAGCUGGCCAUUUUGAUGAAGACUUCAUCCUGUGAUGCUACUACCUGGAUCAUCUAAGUCUCACUCUGUUGCCCAGCCUGGAUUGCAGUGACAUGAUCACAGCUCACUACAACCUCAACCUCCCUGGGAUCAAGCUAUCCUCCCAUCUUAGCUUCCCAAGUCAUUGGGACUACAGGGAAUGUGCCGCUGUGCCCAGCCAAACUGGAUCUUCAUGUUUUCAGCUUUGGAGCUUCAAUCGAACUUUUGAGACAAGAAGAGGAAAGACAAGAAAAGUGUCUUCUUCACAAUUUUAUUAUUUUGGUGUCAAAGAUUCCAGUUGAUUAUCCCUUUCUAUCUCCAAAGUCUGGCAAACCCUACUUACCUCCCCAACUGCUUUCGAAAGCAUAAACAAAAUAAAAUAACAUCAUCAAAGAUUCCAGAAGAUUGGGAAAGGUGUGGAAGGUAGUGAUUAAAGUAUAGUUGUAAGGGCCCUUUGACAUCAAUUUUAUUCUCUCAGGGGGCUUAAAGUGUUUCUUUUCUGCUUCCUUUACUACAAAGAUAUUUCACUCAAACUCUAUCUUGUUAUAGACUCUUGAAAACUGGGGAUAUGGUUUCUAGCCUUGUAAUUUGUGUAAUAAAAUGUCAGUCAUAAAAACCACUGGGAAUCUGGGACAUUUGUAAUGAUUGGGCUGUCGUUAAAAUACAUGAUUGCUCAAAGGUAUGGCUUAACCCAGGAAAACACAAACCACAAUAAAAGGUCACAUGGAAGAUACAGGCAUGGGCAGGCAUCACUUGGUGGCAAGCAACAGAAAUCCCUUAAGAAAGCGCGAGUGAAAAGCAAUUUAUUUCAGGGGACUCUGAUGGUAUUUUGAAGAAGGUAUAACUCCUGGAACUGGAAAGCUUUGAGAUACUUAUCUCUCUCUCUCUCUCUGUCUCUGCCUCUCUCUUUCUCUCUGCCUCUCUCUG